rnacentral:misc_RNA from 1 species
UCCUUCUUAUCGAAGGCAGUUUUCGAAGAGUGCAUCCCUUGCGGGAUUAGCAACAUCGAAUGGGGGUUGCGCUCGUUGCGGGACUUAACCCAACAUCUCACGACACGAGCUGACGACAACCAUGCAGCACCUCUGCUCGCUCCCUUGCGGGUCGACAUCUGUUUCCAGUUGUCUACCACGAGUAGUUCAAGCCCAGGUAAGGUUCUUCGCGUUGCGUCGAAUUAAACCACAUGCUCCACCGCUUGUGCGGGCCCCCGUCAAUUCCUUUGAGUUUCAACCUUGCGGCCGUACUCCCCAGGCGGUUCAUUUAAUGCGUUAGCGCCGACGCGGAAGGGGUCGAUACCUCCCACAUCUAAUGAACAUCGUUUAGGGCUAGGACUAC